GAGUUUGAUCCUGGCUCAGGAUAAACGCUGGCGGCGUGCUUAAUACAUGCAAGUCGAGCGGCAGCAUGCACUUCGGUGUGAUGGCGAGCGGCGGACGGCUGAGUAACGCGUAGGAACGUACCCCAAAGUGAGGGAUAAGCUCCAGAAAUGGAGUCUAAUACCGCAUGUGGUCUUCGGAUUAAAGCUUUAUGCGCUUUGGGAACGGCCUGCGUACGAUUAGCUUGUUGGUGAGGUAAAGGCUUACCAAGGCGAUGAUCGUUAGCUGGUCUGAGAGGAUGAUCAGCCAGACUGGGACUGAGACACGGCCCAGACUCCUACGGGAGGCAGCAGUAGGGAAUUUUCCACAAUGGGCGAAAGCCUGAUGGAGCAACGCCGCGUGCAGGAUGAAUGCCUUAGGGUUGUAAACUGCUUUUCUUUGUGAGGAUUAUGACAGUAGCAGAGGAAUAAGGAUCGGCUAACUCCGUGCCAGCAGCCGCGGUCAUACGGAGGAUCCAAGCGUUAUCCGGAAUUACUGGGCGUAAAGAGUUGCGUAGACGGCAGAGUAAGCAUGGUGUGAAAUCGUAUGGCUCAACCAUAUAUACACAUCCUGAUCUGCUCAGCUAGAGGAUGAGAGAGGUGGCUGGAAUUCCCAGUGUAGGAGUGAAAUCCGUAGAUAUUGGGAGGAACACCGAUGGCGUAGGCAGGCCACUGGCUCAUUCCUGACGCUCAGGCACGAAAGUCUAGGUAGACUGCCCCGGUAACGGGGAGGAAGGAGGGGACGAUGUCAGGUCCGUAUUUCCCUUACACCCUGGGCUAGAAACACGCUACAAUGGCCGGUACAAAGGGCUGCCAAGUCGCGAGACGGAGCAAAUCCCACCAAAACCGGUCUCAGUUCGGAUUGUAGGCUGAAACUCGCCUGCAUGAAGUUGGAAUCGCUAGUAACGGUAGGUCAGCACACUACCGUGAAUACGUUCCCGGGCCUUGCACACACCG
rnacentral:rRNA from 1 species